UUUCCGGCUGUGCAUGUGAGUGACUUGGAACGAAUAGAAUCCUGGAGGACAUCAACUAUGAGGGUAACUACGCGUUAUCUGGUCUUAUGGAGCUCGUUGAUCAUUGUUGCAGCGACUCAUCGAUCAGAAGUGUACCGUUUCAUUUUAUCAGUGACAAAAAUUAUCCGUCCUUUUAUGAAAAUAUCGCAUUGAAAUUAUGAUUUAAGUGAGAAAUUAUUUAAUGCAUAUUGAGGGGCGGAAAAGUUCUCUCUGAAUCUUUCACGUGGCCAUUUGAAACUUCAAGUCAAAGCAAACUUUGACGUGAACUUUUUGAGAAGAACUUUCCACGAGGGGUCGUUCUAAAUAACAACAAAUAUACCAGGAAC
rnacentral:misc_RNA from 1 species